UCUAAUAAGUUGUCGUAAUUUUGCUAAACACGAUGUCAAUUUCUUCUUUAAUUGACCACACUGUUGGUCAAACAGCUGUACAGCGCCCUACGGUCGGUCGCGUAUAAGCGACAGUGGCUACAACCCAUUGGAGAAGUUAUAUUACUACGUUUGAUAUGGAGGAGCAGUUGGACGGGGCGCAGAUGGCCGAGGCACAACUGGAAAAGGACCACAUAGCGGCCCAACUAGCUGAAGCACAAGUGGACGAUGACCACAUAGCAACACAACUAGCAGAGGCACAAGUGGACGAUGAACACGUAGCAACACAACUAGCUGAGGCACAAGUGGACGAUGAACACGUAGCAACACAACUAGCUGAGGCACAAGUGGACGAUGAACACGUAGCAACACAACUAGCUGAGGCACAAGUGGACGAUGAACACGUAGCAACACAAGUGGACGAUGACCACAUGGCAACACAACUAGCUGAAGCACAAGUGGACGAUGACCACAUGGCAACACAACUAGCUGAGGCACAAGUGGACGAUGAACACGUAGCAACACAACUAGCUGAGGCACAAGUGGACGAUGAACACGUAGCAACACAACUAGCUGAGGCACAAGUGGACGAUGAACACGUAGCAACACAAGUGGACGAUGACCACAUGGCAACACAACUAGCUGAAGCACAAGUGGACGAUGACCACAUAGCAACACAACUAGCUGAGGCACAAGUGGACGAUGAACACGUAGCAACACAAGUGGACGAUGACCACAUGGCAACACAACUAGCUGAAGCACAAGUGGACGAUGACCACAUAGCAACACAACUAGCAGAGGCACAAGUGGACGAUGAACACGUAGCAACACAAGUGGACGAUGACCACAUGGCAACACAACUAGCUGAAGCACAAGUGGACGAUGACCACAUAGCAACACAACUAGCAGAGGCACAAGUGGACGAUGAACACGUAGCAACACAAGUGGACGAUGACCACAUGGCAACACAACUAGCUGAGGCACAAGUGGACGAUGAACACGUAGCAACACAACUAGCUGAGGCACAAGUGGACGAUGAACACGUAGCAACACAACUAGCUGAGGCACAAGUGGACGAUGACCACAUAGCAACACAACUAGCAGAGGCACAAGUGGACGAUGAACACGUAGCAACACAAGUGGACGAUGACCACAUGGCAACACAACUAGCAGAGGCACAAGUGGACGAUGAACACGUAGCAACACAACUAGCAGAGGCACAAGUGGACGAUGAACACGUAGCAACACAAGUGGACGAUGACCACAUGGCAACACAACUAGCUGAAGCACAAGUGGACGAUGACCACAUAGCAACACAACUAGCUGAGGCACAAGUGGACGAUGAACACGUAGCAACACAAGUGGACGAUGACCACAUGGCAACACAACUAGCUGAAGCACAAGUGGACGAUGACCACAUAGCAACACAACUAGCAGAGGCACAAGUGGACGAUGAACACGUAGCAACACAAGUGGACGAUGACCACAUGGCAACACAACUAGCUGAAGCACAAGUGGACGAUGACCACAUAGCAACACAACUAGCAGAGGCACAAGUGGACGAUGAACACGUAGCAACACAAGUGGACGAUGACCACAUGGCAACACAACUAGCUGAGGCACAAGUGGACGAUGAACACGUAGCAACACAACUAGCUGAGGCACAAGUGGACGAUGACCACAUGGCAACACAACUAGCAGAGGCACAAGUGGACGAUGAACACGUAGCAACACAAGUGGACGAUGACCACAUGGCAACACAACUAGCUGAAGCACAAGUGGACGAUGACCACAUAGCAACACAACUAGCAGAGGCACAAGUGGACGAUGAACACGUAGCAACACAAGUGGACGAUGACCACAUGGCAACACAACUAGCUGAGGCACAAGUGGACGAUGAACACGUAGCAACACAACUAGCUGAGGCACAAGUGGACGAUGACCACAUAGCAACACAACUAGCAGAGGCACAAGUGGACGAUGAACACGUAGCAACACAACUAGCUGAGGCACAAGUGGACGAUGACCACAUAGCAACACAACUAGCAGAGGCACAAGUGGACGAUGAACACGUAGCAACACAAGUGGACGAUGACCACAUGGCAACACAACUAGCUGAGGCACAAGUGGACGAUGAACACGUAGCAACACAACUAGCUGAGGCACAAGUGGACGAUGAACACGCAGAGGCACAAGUGGACGAUGACCACAUGGCAACACAACUAGCUGAGGCACAAGUGGACGAUGAACACGUAGCAACACUACUAGCAGAGGCACAAGUGGACGAUGAACACGUAGCAACACAAGUGGACGAUGACCACAUGGCAACACAACUAGCAGAGGCACAAGUGGACGAUGAACACGUAGCAACACAACUAGCAGAGGCACAAGUGGACGAUGAACACGUAGCAACACAAGUGGACGAUGACCACAUGGCAACACAACUAGCUGAGGCACAAGUGGACGAUGAACACGUAGCAACACAAGUGGACGAUGACCACAUGGCAACACAACUAGCUGAGGCACAAGUGGACGAUGAACACGUAGCAACACAACUAGCUGAGGCACAAGUGGACGAUGACCACAUAGCAACACAACUAGCUGAGGCACAAGUGGACGAUGAACACGUAGCAACACAAGUGGACGAUGACCACAUGGCAACACAACUAGCUGAGGCACAAGUGGACGAUGACCACAUGGCAACACAACUAGCUGAGGCACAAGUGGACGAUGAACACGUAGCAACACAAGUGGACGAUGACCACAUGGCAACACAACUAGCCGAGGCACAAGUGGACGAUGACCACAUAGCAACACUACUAGCCGAGGCACAAGUGGACGAUGAACACGUAGCAACACAAGUGGACGAUGACCACAUAGCAACACUAUUAGCUGAGGCACAAGUGGACGAUGCACACAGCAACACUACUAGCUGAAGCACAAGUGGACGAUGAACACACAGCAACACUACUAGCCGAGGCACAAGUGGACGAUGAACACAUAGCAACACAACAAGCCGAGGCACAAGAUGUGGCCUGGACUAUACUGGACGAUGUAUGACUGGGAACAUAUACGGCCAAAAAAUCUAAAAUGAAAACAAUAAUGAGCCAGAGACAAGUCUUUAAGGGCUCAACUAUGUCUUUCAAGGUCAAGUUGACCUUUUAUAAAACAUCCACUGUAGCCCCCCCCCAUCAUCCUGUUCAACUGUCUCAAGUAUUAACUUGUUCAACUCUUCAGAUUAUUAAAGUCUUUGAUUUCUGAGCAUAAAUAUGCUUAGACCUAACUUCGAUGUUCAUUGAAUAAACGCCACCUCUUAUUAAACUAAGAAUGGAAUUAGAUUUUUCUGAAUUAACAUUUGGUGUGUAAAAGAUUUUGUGCAGUUUUGCGUAUUGUUCAAAAUUGAUCAGUGGAGGCAGAGGAUGACAUUUUGUGACCAACUUGAAUGUAAUCUCAGUUUGGGAGUAUUAUCCCUGAGCUCUACGACCGACCAGUAACGUAGUCACUACUUCUUGCAGAAUAUAUAUUGGCAAUUAUUAAAAAUUGCAUCCUUGUAAAUUGGUCAUUAAUUAAUAAAUGUUUAUUAUGUUAAUAUAUAUCUAACCAAUAUA
rnacentral:misc_RNA from 1 species